rnacentral:rRNA from 2 species
UAGGGAAUCUUCUGCAAUGGACGAAAGUCUGACAGAGCAACGCCGCGUGAGUGAAGAAGGUCUUCGGAUUGUAAAACUCUGUUGUCAGGGAAGAACACCCGGGAGAGGAUCCCGGCUUGACGGUACCUGAUGAGAAAGCCCCGGCUAACUACGUGCCAGCAGCCGCGGUAAUACGUAGGGGGCAAGCGUUGUCCGGAAUCAUUGGGCGUAAAGCGCGCGCAGGCGGUCCCUUAAGUCUGAUGUGAAAGCCCACGGCUCAACCGUGGAGGGCCAUUGGAAACUGGGGGACUUGAGUGCAGGAGAGGAGAGUGGAAUUCCUGGUGUAGCGGUGAAAUGCGUAGAGAUCAGGAGGAACACCGAUGGCGAAGGCAGCUCUCUGGCCUGUAACUGACGCUGAGGCGCGAAAGCGUGGGGAGCAAACAGG